GGGGGGCCUCCUACCGCCACUAGCGCAAUCCUCGUUCCGUGCCCCGCAAGGAGGAGCCCCAGUGGAACCCACAGCGCAUCGCAUCCCCGCUUUCCCCCCCCUCAUAUCCCCAGCACCUCGCACCCCCCGUGGAUGUCACCAGCAUCGCUGUUUCAAGGCUGGGGAUGGUAUUCCCAGCUCAGCCGGGCGCUUUCAUUCAUAAAACUGCAAGGUUGUAUCCAUGAAUGUGUGUAUAAUGAACUCAGAAGGAAUGCAGCACUAAAAGAAGCCUUUGUAAUGUUGCUAUUUUAAGGAGACCCUUGGGUAUGGCACGUGUUGAACUGAGUUUCUCUAACGUCUUACAACAAACCAAAAUGUUUAGAUCCUCCUACUGAUGUAAAAGAGCAUAAAAAAAAUACAUAAGCAAUCUAAACUGGCUAAGGUUUUGACCAGGAAUUAUUGCUCUUGUGAAUUGACUCUGUAUUGUAGCUAACUUUUACAUGGCCUAAUAAUAAACAUCUCCUCGUCCCAGCUGGGAGAAUGUUU
rnacentral:lncRNA from 1 species